rnacentral:lncRNA from 1 species
UGCAUGAAAAAAACAUACUGACUUUAAGAUUCCACAAGAUCAAAAGUAGUUAUAUCCAGCACAGCAGAGUGGGCAAACACUUGCAUCAGUGUACAUAUAUACGAGUACAUUGUCUUUGCAUUCAUACAAAAGAAGUCUAUUUAAUUAGCAAAAGUUUCCAAGACUCUUGUAUGACGAUGGUCCACCGAUCUGUACUUCUGUACAUUAAAUAAUUCAACCAACAAGCGACCACCUUCAACAUGCAACUCUUCAUGUCCAGGAUAGCAUCAGUAGCUCUAACAAAAAGCUAGCCAUUUGCACUCUCCUGUUCAACCAAUACAAAUUGUUGGCCAAAAGUAAUGAAACGGAAACAAGCACUGAUCAUUUAGAAUAGAACUGUAUACAUCGCAUUAUUUGCCUCAUUUAAGUUGUUGCAGAAUUUGACAUGACUUAGGGAUUGACAUUGUCGUCCAUCUCGAGAAUUAGCAAGUAAUUCAGUCAACUUUUCCACUUCCUCACCAAGUGACUCAAUUUUUCUAAUAGCAGUUCUAACAAAAACCUAGCAAUUCUGUAAAAAAAAAACAGAAAAAUAAAAGAUUGCGUCUGAGAAGAGGGUGAAAUGGCUAUCUUUUCAUUUGCAUUAACAACUACUAUUCCAUCUAUACCUGAUCUAGCAGGAGAAACAUAUGCUGGAUCAAUAGUAAUGUCUGUGCCACCACCUAAAUCAGGACAUUGGUCUACAUGUUCAAUUUCAUUGUCCGGUUAAAUUGUGCCUAGGAAGGUACAUCCAUCACCUAUCCAUAGCUGGUAUUGACAAUCAAAUUUUAGAGGCCACUUAAAUUAGUUUGUGUUUGAGUGGUGUUUUCUAUGCGUGAAGUACAAGUACUCACCAGUGUACCCAUGGGGAAAAGAUAAAAAAACAUUGCGCAAGACAAAUAUAACAUGAGGAUAUAACAUUUCAGCAUUUUAGCAUAGUACUCAUGGCAAGCGGGAGGAAACUAACUGUUGUACAUUUGUUGUUCGGGACCUCUGUUCGGUAGAUGCUCAGCAAAGCAACGUACACCUUGGAUGAUAUCUAGGUUGAUUGCAGCAAAAUCGGUAGUGGACGACUAAACUGCACCAUAAAGCCAAAUAGUUCAAACUUGGAAAUAGAUUAUAAUGUCACUUAAAAUAAAUAUUUGAUCAAACAGGCUCAACAAUAUAGCUGUUUCUCACACAUGUCAACAAUAUAACUGACCAAACAGGCUCAGUGGCAAGAUUCCUCCACAUAAAAAAAAAGUUGGUUUGCACAGUGCUG